rfam:Myotis lucifugus cont2.67256, whole genome shotgun sequence.
AUUCCCUGGCAAUGGGCAAGGAGACACCUGAUUGGUGGUGUCGCUCUUAAAACAGUCAGGGUCAAGGCAGACAUACUGUUCUAAGUUUAUGCUACCUUGAUGUCAAUGUUGGUGGCCAGAGCUGGUUCAUGCCUGGGGCACAUUA